rnacentral:rRNA from 1 species
CAUAGCGACUAUCGUGGCAUAUCAAUAAGCGGAGGAAAAGAAACUAACAAGGAUUCCCUUAGUGACGGCGAGUGAAGCGGGAAGAGCUCAAAUUUGAAAUCUUCAAGGUUUUACCUUGACGAAUUGUAGUUUAAAGAAGAGUUUUCUGUUGAAGUUUUGGUAAAAGUUCUUUGGAAUAGGACAUCAUAGAGGGUGAGAAUCCCGUAUUUGACCAUUAUUUUCAGCUGUGUGAUACACUUUCAAAGAGUCGGAUUGUUUGGGAAUGCAGUCCAAAAUGGGUGGUAAAUUUCAUCUAAAGCUAAAUAUUGGCGAGAGACCGAUAGCGAACAAGUACCGUGAGGGAAAGAUGAAAAGAACUUUGAAAAGAGAGUUAAACAGUACGUGAAAUUGUCAAAAGGGAAGCGUUUGACACCAGUGUUGUUUUUCCGAAAAUCAAUUACGAAUGUUUUGUUUUUGAGGAGUUAUGACUUCAUCGGCUUGCUCCCUUUCUUUAUGAAACUUUCUUAAUGCACUUUUCGGUUAACAAGUCAACAUCAAUUUCUUUUGUUGUAAAAGGGUAUGAGGAAGGUGGCUUUCUUUUCGGAGAAAGUGUUUGUAGCCUUGUGCCUCUGCAAUCGGAGAGAUUGAGGUCUGCAGCGUAGAUCCUUCGGGGUUAGAUACGUUUGUGCUAAGUUAUAGCUUUUCAUAGACAACUUGUUGACUAUGUUAAGUCUUGUAGCUUACUCGCUUAUGCUAUUUUACCUACGCUUAGGAUGUUGAUAUGCAUGACUGAUAU